UCUUGAAGAAUGAUUCCAAGCUACUUUUUUCACAUUUAGAUUAUGCAUCUGUUGUUGCUCCGGUUUGAAGUUCAAAUCCUUCUUAUUUAUUAUCAUGAAUCAAGCUAAGCAAGUAAUAUUCUGCAUAGCUCCCCUUCCACAUUCCCUUCAAUGCUGGCUCUCUUUUAUUUUUCUUUUUUGAUUGGAGUAGCAAAAAGAUUGUUUUUGUCUUUUUUUAACCUGAGAAAUUUACUAAUGUUUCAAAAAUCAUGUAUAUAUGUAAAAUCUAGGUAAAAUUUUCAGAGAAGGUCCUACAUCUUAUAGUAGUCAUUGGAGCAUGUUUAUCAUGUGUGGAUGUCAUAUUGCUUACGAAGAAAAAGAUUCAUGGGGAUUUUCACUUAUACCAUGAGUGGCUUUUAAAAUUUUCACAUUUCAUGGCCCGGGCAACGAUCGUGUUCUCUUUGAGGUGUAUUUGUUUUCAACACAUAUUGUGCGGUAUAAUCCUCUGUAGAUGGUGGAUUAUAAAAACUAUGUUUGAAAUUCCUUAUUUGCAUGAGGCAUUCUCUUCAAUGGAGGUUUUAGAGUGUCUUAAAGAAAGCUCUGCUUUAUUUUUGGAUAUCAUGUUCUGUAUAUCCAUUAACUAUAUCCGAAUAAAACAAGCAUCUAUGAACAACAGCCCACUGAAAGAUUCACUUCUUUAUGUUGAGAUGGACAUUGAGGAAUGCUAUCACAGACUCUAGAAGCAUGCAUGGCUUUUGGGAUUAUAUGGUGUUCAAAUCAAUCACUUCCAUAAUGAAUUCUGGUUUCCUAAAGCAGCUUGACUUCGAUGCUGAAAUGGAUCCUUCUACAUGUCACGAAAAAUUAUUAAGUUACUGGAAAGAUCAGCAAAAUAAUUCUUGCUGAAAUGCAUCAUUAUUUAGAGCAAUAUUCUAUGCUUAUGGAUGGCCAUAUCUUCGUCUAGGUUUAUUAAAGGUUCUGGAAAUUCGGAUGGCUAUGUUCUUGCAAUAUCGUUAGGCCUAGUAUCAGUUCUCAAUCCAUGGGGGAAUCUUUGCUGCUGCUUCUUAUAAUUUCACCUCAAAAGCAAAGAAGCUUCUCAGGGACCAAAAUGAUAAUGGAACAAGUUUAG